rnacentral:rRNA from 1 species
UACAGAGGUGGCAAGCGUUGUUCGGAAUUACUGGGCGUAAAGGGCGCGUAGGCGGCCCGUCAAGUCCCGUGUGAAAGCCCCCGGCUCAACCGGGGAACGGCGCGGGAAACUAGCAGGCUUGAGUUCGGGAGAGGGAUGCGGAAUUCCAGGUGUAGCGGUGAAAUGCGUAGAUAUCGUGAGGAACACCAGAGGCGAAGGCGGUUACCUGGACAGUUACUGACGCUCAGGCACGAAAGCAUGGGGAGCAAAAGGG